GGGGUAUAGUUCUUCGGAAUUAGAGACCGGCGCACGGGUGCGUAACGCGUAUGCAAUCUACCUUUUACAGAGGGAUAGCCCAGAGAAAUUUGGAUUAAUACCUCAUAGCAUAGCAGCUUCGCAUGAAGCCACUAUUAAAGUCACAACGGUAAAAGAUGAGCAUGCGUCCCAUUAGCUAGUUGGUAAGGUAACGGCUUACCAAGGCUACGAUGGGUAGGGGUCCUGAGAGGGAGAUCCCCCACACUGGUACUGAGACACGGACCAGACUCCUACGGGAGGCAGCAGUGAGGAAUAUUGGACAAUGGGCGCAAGCCUGAUCCAGCCAUGCCGCGUGCAGGAUGACGGUCCUAUGGAUUGUAAACUGCUUUUAUACAGGAAGAAACCCUGGUUCGUGAACCAGCUUGACGGUACUGUAAGAAUAAGGAUCGGCUAACUCCGUGCCAGCAGCCGCGGUAAUACGGAGGAUCCAAGCGUUAUCCGGAAUCAUUGGGUUUAAAGGGUCCGUAGGCGGUUUAAUAAGUCAGUGGUGAAAGCCCAUCGCUCAACGGUGGAACGGCCAUUGAUACUGUUAAACUUGAAUUAUUAGGAAGUAACUAGAAUAUGUAGUGUAGCGGUGAAAUGCUUAGAGAUUACAUGGAAUACCAAUUGCGAAGGCAGGUUACUACUAAUGGAUUGACGCUGAUGG
rnacentral:rRNA from 1 species